rnacentral:misc_RNA from 1 species
UCAAACUUGGUCAUUUAGAGGAAGUAAAAGUCGUAACAAGGUUUCCGUAGGUGAACCUGCGGAAGGAUCAUUACCACAUCCAAAAUCUUCUUUGAACCCACACAUGUGAAGUUAUGGUUUUUGCAGAGGUUUGCUUUUCCCCCCUCUUUUCCACUCUCUUUCUCGCAAGGAGAAGAAAGAAAAGGAGAGGAAAGCUCCUCGCAAAACUUUUUUUUCUCAACCCCCUUUGAACUCUUUCCGAGUGAAAAAGCAAGGUUAACACGAAAAUGAAAAAAAAAAUAGAGAACAACUUUUAACGGUGGAUCUCUUGGCUCGUGCAUCGAUGAAGAACGCAGC